AGGACGGCAAAGCAAACAGAGUUGAAAUCUCCCAGGGAGGGAUGGAGAAGAAGAGAGGGGAGGGGAAGGAAAGACAGGAAGGAGGUUCCUAACUCCCUUUCACAGGACCCUCAUGAGGUGAAAGAAGCAGCCCCAGCUUCCUUUUUUUAAUUUUUUUUUUUUUGGUUGAGAGGAGGUUCCAGGGGGAUUGGGUCUGGGUGAAAGGCUUGCCCAUUUCCUUAGCCUUUUCUCAACUCAGGAGAGAUCUUCAACAGGAAAGAACUCACAGAAAGUGACUGUAGUUCUUUACCAAUCCCACCAAGCCAUCUAGCUGCAGAAAUAUUGUUGACAUGUUUGCAGAAUAUAUUUAAAAGCUGGAACUUUCCCCUACCAUGUGGUUUAGUUAGUUUGCUGAAAAGGGACUACCCAGACUUUUUCACUGACCAGGCUUAUAUUCUUGGGCAAAUAACUGAAAGAGGGAGGCCAUUGAACUGGGGAAUGGGUUGAAGGAACGCAGUUUUCUCUAUUUUAAGAUAGUUAAGGUCCCUGUUCGUGAUCACAGGAGAACGGGGUCAUCCUGACUGACUUGGGAAGGUUCCUUGGCUUUGAAGUCUCCUACACUCCCUGAGGCCCUGAAGACCCCUGCUGGCAGUUCCUCCUUCCCUUUCUCAGGCUACUUUCCUGGCCUUCAAACCCUGACCUCUCCCCAGUGCCACCCUGUUGGAGCUCACAAAGCACAGGAUGUAGGAUGAAGGUAAAGAGAACCAGACUCACCAGAGGAAGAAGGUUCUGGGAACAUCUGUUAGAUCAGAUCUCUGGUAGCAGGGAUGAUGGAUCAAUCUCCAAGAAGCCCCAAAUGGAGCAUGGGGUCCCCAUGAAGACACCAAAUAGUCAUCUGUUCAUCAUAUGUAAUGCUCCCUAGGUCAGUGAGGCAAGGUUGUUUCCCUUCCUCCUUUGUUCUGUGCAGUUAGUGGGAACAUAAAUCAACAGAUUUUGCUAUUACUAAUUAAUAGGAAGUGAGAUCUAUCUAAGGAAGAGAAGCAAUAUAUAUUAUAAUCCAGUCCUUUGUCCCAAAUAAGACAAAGGGUGCUAAAUGGUAGGCACCAAUUAAUCUGUUUCCAGACUAAGUACAUGAUUGACUCUUUUCUGAUAUAGCUUUGUACAAAAUGUCUUCAGAAUGAUGGCAGAGCCAAGGGAAAGCUGUAGAUAAGACCUUAACCUUCCAGGUAGAAAGGAGAGGGAGGAGCUUGAGUCCAGAGAAGCAGGGACUUAAGCAGAAAAGCAAAGCUUGAGGCAUGAGUACUUGAUUGUAACGGGUAUCUGCAAUGUGGCUCUUCUCAACGAUACAAUGAUCCAAGACAAUCCCAAAGGACUCAUGGUGGAAAAUGCUAUCCACAUCCAAAGAAAGAACUGAUGUCUGAAUACAGACUGAAACACAUUAUUUCCCUCUUCUUUUCUUUCUUGUUUCCUUCCUUUUUCAAGUCUUCUUGCACAAAAUGACUAACAUGUAAAUGUUUUACAUGAUUUCACAUGUAUAACCUAUAUCAGAUUGCUUACUGUCUCAGGAAGGGGGAGAGGAGGGGAGGAUAGAAUUUGGAACUCAAAACUUAAAAAAAACACAAAUGUUAAAAUUUGUUUUAACAUGUAAUUGAG
ensembl:lncRNA